GAUGGAUAUAACUAUGGGAUACUGUGUGGGUACACGGCCUCCUCCUUCCUGCCUUAUCCUCCUGCUUCUCAAGCUUUUGGCCACAGUCUCCCAGGGGCUGCCGGGGACCGGGCCCCUGGGCUUCCACUUCACACAUUCCAUUUAUAAUGCUACAGUGUAUGAGAACUCAGCAGCAAGGACCUACGUCAACAGUCAGAGUAGAAUGGGCAUCACCUUGAUAGAUCUGUCUUGGGAUAUCAAAUACAGAAUAGUAUCUGGGGACGAGGAAGGCUUUUUCAAAGCAGAAGAAGUCAUCAUUGCAGAUUUCUGUUUUCUCAGAAUAAGAACUAAAGGUGGCAAUUCUGCCAUAUUGAAUAGGGAAAUUCAGGACAAUUAUUUAUUGAUAGUAAAAGGUUCUGUCAGAGGAGAGGAUUUGGAAGCAUGGACCAAAGUGAAUAUACAGGUUUUAGAUAUGAAUGAUCUAAGACCGUUAUUUUCACCCACAACUUACUCUGUUACUAUAGCAGAAAGCACACCUUUAAGGACUAGUGUCGCCCAGGUGACAGCAACAGAUGCCGAUAUCGGUUCCAAUGGAGAAUUCUACUACUACUUUAAAAACAAAGUUGAUCUCUUUUCAGUUCACCCCACCAGUGGUGUCAUCUCUUUAAGUGGACGAUUAAAUUAUGAUGAGAAGAAUAGGUAUGAUCUGGAAAUUUUGGCUGUGGACCGGGGGAUGAAACUUUAUGGAAACAACGGAGUGAGCAGUACUGCAAAGCUUUAUGUUCACAUUGAACGUGUAAAUGAACACGCUCCAACUAUCCACGUGGUCACUCAUGUUCCUUUCUCACUGGACAAGGAGCCGACGUAUGCGGUGGUGACAGUCGACGACCUAGAUGAGGGGGCGAAUGGAGAGAUUGAGUCUGUUUCCAUUGUGGCUGGGGAUCCUUUAGAUCAGUUCUUCCUGGCUAAGGAAGGAAAGUGGAUGAAUGAGUUCAAGAUUAAGGAGAGAAAGCGGGUUGACUGGAAGAGCUUUCCCUAUGGCUACAAUCUCACUCUUCAAGCAAAAGAUAAGGGGUCACCUCAGAAAUUUUCAGCAGUAAAGAUAGUCCACAUCGCCAACCCCAAAAGAGACACUGUCCCAAUUAGAUUUGAAAAAGAAAUGUACGAGGUGAGCAUUAGCGAAUUUUCCCCUCCUGGUGUCGUGGUUGCUAUAGUAAAAUUAAGUCCCGAACCACUAGAUGUGGAAUACAAAUUAUCUCCCGGUGAGGAUGCACAGUACUUCAAAAUUAAUCCUCGGUCAGGUCUGAUUGUCACAGAACAGCCACUGAAUACUAUUAAGAAGGAGGUUUAUAAACUGGAGGUGACAAACAAGGAAGGAGAUUUAAAAGCACAAGUCACUAUCAGCAUAGAAGAUGCCAACGACCACACCCCAGAAUUUCAGCAGCCCCUAUAUGAUGCUUUUGUGAAUGAAAGUGUUCCAGUGGGUACGAGCAUUCUGAUGGUUUCAGCUUCUGAUAAAGAUAAAGGAGAAAAUGGGUACAUCACUUAUAGUAUUGCCAGCUUAAAUUUGUUACCAUUUGCCAUCAACCAGUUUACAGGUGUUAUUAGCACAACUGAAGAACUGGAUUUUGAAUCCUCUCCAGAAACUUACAGGUUCAUCGUAAGAGCCUCUGACUGGGGUUCACCAUACCGCCAUGAAAGUGAGGUAAAUGUGACUAUUCGAAUAGGAAAUGUCAAUGACAACAGCCCUCUCUUUGAAAAAGUGGCUUGCCAGGGAGUUAUUUCAUAUGACUUUCCAGUUGGGGGUCACAUCACAGCUGUCUCAGCAAUCGAUAUUGAUGAACUUGAACUUGUAAAGUACAAAAUCAUCUCUGGAAAUGAACUUGGUUUCUUUUAUUUAAACCCAGACUCUGGUGUUUUACAGCUUAAAAAGUCACUGAUGAAUUCUGGCAUUAAAAAUGGUAAUUUUGCCCUCAGGAUUACAGCAACCGACGGAGAGAAUUUUGCAGACCCCAUGUCUGUUAACAUUUCAGUCCUACAUGGGAAGGUAUCUUCAAAGAGCUUUAGUUGCAGAGAAACUCGUGUGGCUCAAAAGCUGGCAGAGAAACUACUCAUUAAGGCGAAAGCAAAUGGGAGGCUGAAUUUGGAAGAUGGAUUUCUUGACUUUUAUUCAAUUAAUAGGCAAGGACCACAUUUUGACAAGUCAUUUCCUUCAGAUGUGGCUGUGAAGGAGAAUCUGCCAGUUGGUGCUAACAUUCUGAGGAUUAAAGCCUAUGAUGCUGACUCUGGCUUCAAUGGAAAGGUGCUAUUUACAAUAUCUGAUGGAAAUACAGAUAGUUGCUUUAAUAUUGAUAUGGAGACUGGGCAACUUAAAGUCCUUAUGCCUAUGGAUCGAGAACACACAGACCUCUAUCUCCUUAAUAUCACCAUCUAUGACUUAGGUAAUCCACAAAAAUCUUCAUGGAGGUUGCUCACCAUCAAUGUGGAGGAUGCUAAUGACAAUAGCCCAAUUUUUCUUCAAGACAGUUACUCAGUUACCAUUCUUGAAAGUUCAAGUAUCGGUACUGAGAUUAUUCAAGUGGAAGCCAGAGACAAAGACUUGGGUUCUAAUGGUGAGGUGACUUAUUCAGUCUUGACAGAUACACAGCAGUUUGCCAUCAAUAGCUCAACUGGAAUCGUUUAUGUAGCUGACCAGUUGGACCGGGAAUCCAAAGCAAACUACUCUUUAAAAAUAGAAGCCAGAGACAAGGCAGAAAGUGGCCAGCAGCUGUUUUCGGUUGUCACUCUUAAGGUUUUUUUGGAUGAUGUCAAUGACUGCUCCCCAGCUUUCAUUCCUAGUAGCUAUAGUGUGAAGGUUCUUGAAGAUCUUCCUGUUGGCACUGUCAUUGCUUGGCUGGAGACCCAUGAUCCAGAUCUUGGACUAGGGGGUCAAGUGCGCUAUUCUUUGGUCAAUGACUAUAAUGGGAGAUUUGAAAUCGAUAAAGCAAGUGGUGCCAUUCGCUUGAGCAAAGAGCUUGACUAUGAAAAGCAGCAGUUCUAUAAUCUCACAGUUCGGGCCAAAGACAAAGGGCGGCCUGUCUCUCUGUCAUCUGUUUCCUUUGUUGAGGUGGAAGUGGUGGAUGUCAAUGAAAACCUCCACAAUCCCUAUUUCCCAGACUUUGCUGUUGUUGGAUCUGUAAAAGAAAACUCACGUAUUGGAACAAGUGUGCUACAGGUGACUGCCCAAGAUGAGGACUCCGGGAGGGAUGGAGAGAUCCAGUACUCCAUCAGGGAUGGCAGUGGUCUUGGAAGGUUCAAUAUAGAUGACGAGAGUGGUAAGUUUAAUGUUUUGUGCCAGAAGUGCCUCAAUCUCUCAUGAGUGGUCAACAUUGGAAAAGUAAAGGGGUAUUCUCACACUAAAAUAGAAUGGAAAAAUGCAGUUGCAUUUGGUGCAGAGAGGAUGCAAGUAAAAGCUUUUUCUUAGAAUGCAUUGGUUUGUAAGAAGACCUGUUUAUACAGUAAUAGCUGUGAUUUUCAGUGAGAGUCUCUGUGUUUGUUUUUCUUGUUCAGCAUUACUAUUACCAGGUGAUCUUUUGGUAAGCAUAAGUGAUUGUCACCUCUGUUGAUUGCACUUCUGCCCUUCACCAAAUCAAGGGCCCUAAUAAAGUAAAUUACAUUUGAAUUGACUUUAAAUUAGAAGUGUGAAAUGGAUUUUCAAAUGGAUCUUAUGUACCAGUCUUUCCCUUUACAGUAAUGCUUUGCUGAAGUGAUAUUGCAUUAGUUGCUAGGUCUUUCAUGUUUCACAGGCACAUCUGCCCCUAAAUGACAGGCAUUUGCACUGUGUAUGCUCCAUUACUAUAUGGAGCUGUGCUUCUACAAACGUUUCCAUGAUAGACUAGAGGAGGCAUGUUGUGGAUAUUAUUUACAAAAAAUUGAUUUUAAGAUUUUGUUUGUAAGAACUGAUUUUUUAUAGAAACGUUUUUAAAUAUGGGGCAAAAUU